rnacentral:rRNA from 1 species
CUUCUUUCCUCCCGAGUGCUUGCACUCAAUUGGAAAGAGGAGUGGCGGACGGGUGAGUAACACGUGGGUAACCUACCCAUCAGAGGGGGAUAACACUUGGAAACAGGUGCUAAUACCGCAUAACAGUUUAUGCCGCAUGGCAUAAGAGUGAAAGGCGCUUUCGGGUGUCGCUGAUGGAUGGACCCGCGGUGCAUUAGCUAGUUGGUGAGGUAACGGCUCACCAAGGCCACGAUGCAUAGCCGACCUGAGAGGGUGAUCGGCCACACUGGGACUGAGACACGGCCCAGACUCCUACGGGAGGCAGCAGUAGGGAAUCUUCGGCAAUGGACGAAAGUCUGACCGAGCAACGCCGCGUGAGUGAAGAAGGUUUUCGGAUCGUAAAACUCUGUUGUUAGAGAAGAACAAGGACGUUAGUAACUGAACGUCCCCUGACGGUAUCUAACCAGAAAGCCACGGCUAACUACGUGCCAGCAGCCGCGGUAAUACGUAGGUGGCAAGCGUUGUCCGGAUUUAUUGGGCGUAAAGCGAGCGCAGGCGGUUUCUUAAGUCUGAUGUGAAAGCCCCCGGCUCAACCGGGGAGGGUCAUUGGAAACUGGGAGACUUGAGUGCAGAAGAGGAGAGUGGAAUUCCAUGUGUAGCGGUGAAAUGCGUAGAUAUAUGGAGGAACCCAGUGGCGAGGCGGCUCUCUGGUCUGUACUGACGCUGAGCUCGAAGCGUGGGAGCAAC